CCUACGGGUGGCAGCAGUCGAGAAUCAUUCACAAUGGGGGAAACCCUGAUGGUGCGACGCCGCGUGGGGGCAUGAAGGUCUUCGGAUUGUAAACCCCUGUCAUGUGGGAGCAAAUUAAAAAGAUAGUACCACAAGAGGAAGAGACGGCUAACUCUGUGCCAGCAGCCGCGGUAAUACCGAGGUCUCAAGCGUUGUUCGGAAUCACUGGGCGUAAAGCGUGCGUAGGCUGUUUCGUAAGUCGUGUGUGAAAGGCGCGGGCUCAACCCGCGGACGGCACAUGAUACUGCGAGACUAGAGUAAUGGAGGGGGAACCGGAAUUCUCGGUGUAGCAGUGAAAUGCGUAGAUAGCGAGAGGAACACUCGUGGCGAAGGCGGGUUCCUGGACAUUAACUGACGCUGAGGCACGAAGGCCAGGGGAGCGAAAAGGAUUAGAUACCCCAGUAGUC
rnacentral:rRNA from 1 species